GGAUUCUGGGUCCCAUUUGUCCCAAGGACCAGACUAGAGAAGCUCAUUACCAGCUCUUGGAGACCAUCUCCAAAGGCAUAGAAAGGUUGCAAAUUACGUCUCUGGAGGAAGCAAGUGCGUACAUGCUAAGAAAUUAAUUUCUUCAAGUAUUCAUCAAUUAAAGGGAGUCUGGAUGAAGCUCGGGGUCUAUGCAGACACCAUCCAGCUAUGCUGA
rnacentral:lncRNA from 1 species